AACGAACGCUGGCGGCAGGCCUAACACAUGCAAGUCGAACGCACCUUCGGGUGAGUGGCAGACGGGUGAGUAACACGUGGGAACCUUCCCUUCGGUACGGAAUAGCUCCGGGAAACUGGAAUUAAUGCCGUAUACGCCCUUUGGGGGAAAGAUUUAUCGCCGAAGGAUGGGCCCGCGUCGGAUUAGCUAGUUGGUGGGGUAAUGGCCCACCAAGGCAACGAUCCGUAGCUGGUCUUAGAGGAUGAUCAGCCACACUGGGACUGAGACACGGCCCAGACUCCUACGGGAGGCAGCAGUGGGGAAUAUUGGACAAUGGGCGAAAGCCUGAUCCAGCCAUGCCGCGUGAGUGACGAAGGCCUUAGGGUUGUAAAACUCUUUUGGCGGGGACGAUAAUGACGGUACCCGCAGAAUAAGCCCCGGCUAACUUCGUGCCAGCCGCCGCGGUAAUU
rnacentral:rRNA from 1 species